UAGGGAAUAUUGGACAAUGGGUGAGAGCCUGAUCCAGCCAUGCCGCGUGUGUGAAGAAGGUCUUCGGAUUGUAAAGCACUUUAAGUUGGGAGGAAGGGCAGUUACCUAAUACGUGAUUGUUUUGACGUUACCGACAGAAUAAGCACCGGCUAACUCUGUGCCAGCAGCCGCGGUAAUACAGAGGGUGCAAGCGUUAAUCGGAAUUACUGGGCGUAAAGCGCGCGUAGGUGGUUAGUUAAGUUGGAUGUGAAAUCCCCGGGCUCAACCUGGGAACUGCAUUCAAAACUGACUGACUAGAGUAUGGUAGAGGGUGGUGGAAUUUCCUGUGUAGCGGUGAAAUGCGUAGAUAUAGGAAGGAACACCAGUGGCGAAGGCGACCACCUGGACUGAUACUGACACUGAGGUGCGAAAGCGUGGGGAGCAAACAGGAUUAGAUACCCCAGUAGUCCCUGAGCGGGCUGGCAAGGCGCAU
rnacentral:rRNA from 1 species